GACGAACGCCGGCGGCGUGCUUAACACAUGCAAGUCGAACGGAAAGGCCCUGCUUUUGUGGGGUGCUCGAGUGGCGAACGGGUGAGUAACACGUGAGUAACCUGCCCUUGACUUUGGGAUAACUUCAGGAAACUGGGGCUAAUACCGGAUAGGAGCUCCUGCUGCAUGGUGGGGGUUGGAAAGUUUCGGCGGUUGGGGAUGGACUCGCGGCUUAUCAGCUUGUUGGUGGGGUAGUGGCUUACCAAGGCUUUGACGGGUAGCCGGCCUGAGAGGGUGACCGGCCACAUUGGGACUGAGAUGCGGCCCAGACUCCUACGGGAGGCAGCAGUGGGGAAUAUUGCACAAUGGGCGGAAGCCUGAUGCAGCAACGCCGCGUGCGGGAUGACGGCCUUCGGGUUGUAAACCGCUUUCGCCUGUGACGAAGCGUGAGUGACGGUAAUGGGUAAAGAAGCACCGGCUAACUACGUG
rnacentral:rRNA from 1 species